rnacentral:rRNA from 1 species
UACGAAGGGGGCUAGCGUUGCUCGGAAUUACUGGGCGUAAAGCGCACGUAGGCGGCCUUGUAAGUUGGGGGUGAAAUCCCGGGGCUCAACUCCGGAACUGCCUUCAAGACUGCAAAGCUAGAGGACGCGAGAGGUUAGCGGAAUUCCGAGUGUAGAGGUGAAAUUCGUAGAUAUUCGGAAGAACACCAGUGGCGGAGGCGGCUAACUGGCGCGUUUCUGACGCUGAGGUGCGAAAGCGUGGGGAGCAAACAGG